rnacentral:lncRNA from 1 species
AAAGACCAUAAAUUGAUAAAAUCAGAUUAGAAGAGAUAAAUAAUUAAUAUAGUUGGUACUUGGAUUAAGUUGAGAGUAGGAUUGGACUAAAAAAUCCUUAUGAUAGGUUAGAUUGAUACCCGGGGAUCCACCAUUUGUGAGACAGGAUCGAAAUCAGAUCUCUAGCCACUAAAACGAUGGCUUAGGACAAAAUAGAGAUUCAUUCAAAGGUCGAAGGUUAGGAUUUGAGAGCUAGCUUGAAGCUCUUUUCAAAGGCAUAAAGUUGGUUUUUUGAAGAUUUUUGAGGACUUAGCAAUUAUUGUUCAAAGUCAAGGUUUGUAUUGGUGAUUUGGAUUUUAUAUAAUAUAACUAGGGCUAGAAAUUUUGGCUAGUUCAUACAAUUGGUGUAGUAUAUAUAGUUCAAAAUUUGAUAUUGUUUGGAUUAUUAGCUAUGCUAAGUGUAUACAAAAUUUUGUGAUAAUCUAAUAGUGUAGUUUAGAGAUAUCUGGUUUUUAACACAAGAGGGUUUUGAAAGUUGGCAAUUUGGGGUUGGGUAGGAUUUCUAUAAUAUCUAGAGAUCUACUAGUUAGAUCAAGCUGAAAUUUGGCAUGGUAUUGAAGGACUUAAAGAUCAAGUCAAAUUAAGUCAAAGUUAAUGGUUGGAGAAGGAGAAAUCACUACUCGGAUUUUUGCUUCACUUUUCA